GACGAACGCUGGCGGCGUGCUUAACACAUGCAAGUCGAACGGAAAUUCUCUGCUUUUGUGUGCUUCUCGAGUGGCGAACGGGUGAGUAACACGUAAGUAACCUUCCCUUGACGUUGGGUUAACUUCAGGAAACUGGUGCUAAUACCGGAUAGGAGCUCCUGCUGCAUGGUGGUGGUUGGAGAGUUUCGGCGGUUUGGGAUGUGCUCGAGGUUUAUCAGCUUGUUGGUGGGGUAGUGGCUUACCAAGGCGUUGACGGGUAGCCGGCCUGAGAGGGUGACCGGCCACAUUGGGACUGCGAUACGGACCAGACUCCUACGGGAGGCAGCAGUGGGGAAUAUUGCACAACGGGCGGAAGUCUGAUGAAGCAACGCUGCGUGCGGGAUGACGGCCUUCGGGUUGUAAAACGCUUUCGCCUGUGCCGAAGAGUGAGUGACGGUAAUGGGUCAAGAAGCAACGGCUAACUACGUG
rnacentral:rRNA from 1 species